rnacentral:rRNA from 1 species
AGUUGCGAAGGCGGCUCUCUGGACUGUAACUGACGCUGAGGCACGAAAGCGUGGGGAGCAAACAGGAUUAGAUACCCUGGUAGUCCACGCUGUAAACGAUGAGUACUAGGUGUCGGGGGUUACCCCCUUCGGUGCCGCAGCUAACGCAUUAAGUACUCCGCCUGGGAAGUACGCUCGCAAGAGUGAAACUCAAAGGAAUGGACGGGGACCCGCACAUGUAGCGGAGCAUGUGGUUUAAUUCGAAGCAACGCGAAGAACCUUACCUAAGCUUGACAUCCCAAUGACAUCUCCUUAAUCGGAGAGUUCCCUUCGGGGACAUUGGUGACAGGUGGUGCAUGGUUGUCGUCAGCUCGUGUCGUGAGAUGUUGGGUUAAGUCCCGCAACGAGCGCAACCCUUGUCUUUAGUUGCCAUCAUUAAGUUGGGCACUCUAGAGAGACUGCCAGGGAUAACCUGGAGGAAGGUGGGGAUGACGUCAAAUCAUCAUGCCCCUUAUGCUUAGGGCUACACACGUGCUACAAUGGGUAGUACAGAGGGUUGCCAAGCCGUAAGGUGGAGCUAAUCCCUUAAAGCUACUCUCAGUUCGGAUUGUAGGCUGAAACUCGCCUACAUGAAGCUGGAGUUACUAGUAAUCGCAGAUCAGAAUGCUGCGGUGAAUGCGUUCCCGGGUCUUGUACACACCGCCCGUCACACCACGGGAGUUGGAGACGCCCGAAGCCGAUUAUCUAACCUUUUGGAAGAAGUCGUCGAAGGUGGAAUCAAUAACUGGGGUGAAGUCGUAACAAGGUAGCCGUAUCGGAAGGUGCGGCUGGAUCACCUCCUUUCUAAGGA